rnacentral:tRNA from 1 species
GGGGUUGUGGCUCAGUGGUAGAGCGCUUGCCUACCAUGUGUGAGACAAGGAGUUCAAUUCUCAGCACCA